GUGCAAGUGAUGAAGCAAAUCAGUAUGAAGAAAUAAUGAUACUGUAAACGCUUUCUGAUGUG
rnacentral:snoRNA from 1 species